UAGCAAGUCGAACGGUCUUUUCUAUGGAAGCUUGCUUCCACUGAGAAGAUAGUGGCGAACGGGUGAGUAACACGUGGGUAACCUGCCCAUAAGAGGGGGAUAACAUCCGGAAACGGGUGCUAAUACCGCAUAGUUUUCUUGAUCGCAUGAUUGAGAAAGGAAAGACGGCCUUUGUGCUGUCGCUUAUGGAUGGACCCGCGGCGUAUUAGUUAGUUGGUGAGGUAACGGCUCACCAAGACGAUGAUACGUAGCCGACCUGAGAGGGUGAUCGGCCACAUUGGGACUGAGACACGGCCCAAACUCCUACGGGAGGCAGCAGUAGGGAAUCUUCCGCAAUGGACGAAAGUCUGACGGAGCAACGCCGCGUGAGUGAAGAAAGGUUUUCGGAUCGUAAAACUCUGUUGUCAGAGAAGAACAAGUUGGAGAGUAACUGCUCCAGCCUUGACGGUAUCUGACCAGAAAGCCACGGCUAACUACGUGCCAGCAGCCGC
rnacentral:rRNA from 1 species